rnacentral:rRNA from 1 species
GACGAACGCUGGCGGCGUGCCUAAUACAUGCAAGUCGAGCGGACUUUCAAGAAGCUUGCUUUUUGAAAGUUAGCGGCGGACGGGUGAGUAACACGUGGGCAACCUGCCUGCAAGACGGGGAUAACUCCGGGAAACCGGGGCUAAUACCGGAUAAUAUCUUCCUUCGCAUGAAGGAAGGUUGAAAGGCGGCGCAAGCUGCCGCUUGCAGAUGGGCCCGCGGCGCAUUAGCUAGUUGGUGAGGUAACGGCUCACCAAGGCGACGAUGCGUAGCCGACCUGGGAGGGUGAUCGGCCACACUGGGACUGAGACACGGCCCAGACUCCUACGGGAGGCAGCAGUAGGGAAACUUUCGCAAUGGACGAAAGUCUGGAGGAGCAACGCCGCGUGAGCGAAGAAGGUCUUCGGAUCGUAAAGCUCUGUUGUCAGGGAAGAACAAGUACCGUUCGAACAGGGCGGUACCUUGACGGUACCUGACCAGAAAGCAACGGCUAACUACGUG